rnacentral:piRNA from 1 species
AUUCUCACAGCUGUCGUACCUCA